rnacentral:rRNA from 1 species
CCCUUAGAUGUUCUGGGCCGCACGCGCGCUACACUGACUGGUGCAACAAGUGUCUGACCUUGGCUCGAGAGGCCUGGGCAACCUUUGAACGCCAGUCGUGCUGGGGAUAGAUUCUUGCAAUUAUUAAUCUUCAACGAGGAAUUCCUAGUAAACGCAAGUCAUCAGCUUGCAUUGAUUACGUCCCUGCCCUUUGUACACACCGCCCGUCGCACCUACCGAUUGAAUGGUCCGGUGAAGCCUCCGGAUUGGCGCGCACCUCGGUGCCGCCGAGAAGUUGGCUAAACCUUACCAUUUAGAGGAAGGUGAAGUCGUAACA